UGGCGAACGGGUGAGUAACGCGUGAGGAACCUGCCUCAAAGAGGGGGACAACAGUUGGAAACGACUGCUAAUACCGCAUAAGCGCACAGUACCGCAUGGUACAGUGUGAAAAACUCCGGUGGUGUGAGAUGGAUCCGCGUCUGAUUAGGUAGUUGGUGGGGUAACGGCCCACCAAGCCGACGAUCAGUAGCCGACCUGAGAGGGUGACCGGCCACAUUGGGACUGAGACACGGCCCAA
rnacentral:rRNA from 1 species